GCUGUCCUUAGUACGAGAGGACCGGGAUGGACGUACCGCUGGUGCAUCAGUUGUUCCGCCAGGAGCAUGGCUGAGUAGCUACGUACGGACGGGAUAAGCGCUGAAAGCAUCUAAGCGUGAAGCCCCCCUCAAGAUGAGAUUUCCCAGUAUGUAAGACCCCUUGAAGACGACGAGGUAGAUAGGUUGGAGGUGGAAGCACGGCAACGUGUGGAGCUGACCAAUACUAAUCGGUCGAGGGCUUAUCCAAAUU
rnacentral:rRNA from 1 species